rnacentral:rRNA from 1 species
UACGAAGGGGGCUAGCGUUGCUCGGAAUCACUGGGCGUAAAGGGUGCGUAGGCGGGUCUUUAAGUCAGGGGUGAAAUCCUGGAGCUCAACUCCAGAACUGCCUUUGAUACUGAGGAUCUUGAGUUCGGGAGAGGUGAGUGGAACUGCGAGUGUAGAGGUGAAAUUCGUAGAUAUCGCAAGAACACCAGUGGCGAAGGCGGGCUCACUGGCCCGAUACUGACGCUGAGGCAGA